UUAGUGCCUAAUUUCAUUUUAUUAUCAACAUCUCUGAAUGUAGAGUCAUACUUUUAACAUCCAUGAAGUUAUAAAACGAAAAAUAUAAAAGAUACAAUUAUUGGAUGCUAGUAAAAAAAAUUAAAUGGCAACACGCGGUACAACAAUAAGGUAUGUUGCAUAGAUUUUUUUGCUAGUGCAAGGACUCACUCCUCCUUGCAUGGCGUUUGUGUACCGUCUUGGGCGCGAUAUACUUAUAUCAAACAAAACGUGACUUCAUCAUAAACUUUACACAUUUGUUGUCAAGGCACUUAUAAACUAAAGGAUACAUAAGGCGUGGACAACUAGCCGCAUUUUCACAAUAAAUUUUUUCUACAAUGAAAGAAGAGAAUAAAAUAAUGUUAAUAAAAUGAUAUAAAACAUUAUGUGUGAAGUAAAUAUUAAAGAAGGAAAUUUGAAAAUGGUUUUAAAAAAAAUGCUUACUGCCACCCCCCUUGGCAACAAGAAAUAGGGAAAGAAUUAAAAUUAUAACAUAAACAAACUUGAGAGUUCUAACCAUAUU
rnacentral:lncRNA from 1 species